AAGUCGUAACAAGGUAUCCGUAGGUGAACCUGCGGAUGGAUCAUUAACGUUCUAUUUGAAAAUGGAAGCACGUAAAAGAAGAGGCAUUAUUACUAGUGUAAUAGCUAGUAUUAAUGGCUUUCCCUUUAUCUUUCUUCUCUUUCAAAUAAUACAAACGUACACCCUUGUGGUGAAUAUAGGAACUAGAACGGUUCUAGUGAAAGAUGGUGAAUAGAGAUGAUGGUGUAAUAGUUUUAUUAUAUGGUCAUCCCUAUGCUAAUCCACUAGCUAGGAUCUUCUGUCUAUUAUAUAUAAACGCAAUUCUAUUUCAUUUAUUAAGACUAAAGUUUACCUUGUGGAUCAUCUCGGUGAUUACCAAGUAAAACAAUUAAUAAAUCUAAUACAACUGCUAGCAACGGAUCACUCGGCUCUC
rnacentral:misc_RNA from 1 species